rnacentral:rRNA from 1 species
UUGCCAGCAGCCGCGGUAAUACCGGCAGCCCGAGUGAUGACCGAUCUUAUUGGGCCUAAAGCGUCCGUAGCUGGCUACGCAAGUCCGUCGGGAAAUCCACUCGCCCAACGAGUGGGCGUCCGACGGAAACUGCAUAGCUUGGGACCGGAAGGCUCGAAGGGUACGUGCGGGGUAGGAGUGAAAUCCCAUAAUCCCGCACGGACCACCGAUGGCGAAAGCACUUCGAGAAAACGGAUCCGACAGUGAGGGACGAAAGCCAGGGUCUCCAACUGGAUUAGAUACCCUAGUAGUCC